rnacentral:rRNA from 1 species
CUACGGGGUGCAGCAGUGAGGAAUAUUGCACAAUGGGGGGAACCCUGAUGCAGCAACGCCGCGUGGAGGAUGACGCAUUUCGGUGUGUAAACUCCUUUUAUAUGUCAAGAAAAUGACGGUAGCAUAUGAAUAAGCGCCGGCUAACUCCGUGCCAGCAGCCGCGGUAAUACGGAGGGCGCAAGUGUUACUCGGAAUCACUGGGCGUAAAGGACGCGUAGGCGGGUUGAAAAGUCAGGUGUGAAAGCCUACAGCUUAACUGUAGAACUGCACUUGAAACUCUCAACCUAGAGUAUGGGAGGGGCAGAUGGAAUUAGUGGUGUAGGGGUAAAAUCCGUAGAUAUCACUAGGAAUACCUAAAGCGAAGGCGAUCUCCUGGAACAUUACUGACGCUAAGGCGUGAAAGCGUGGGGAGCAAACAGGAUUAGAUACCCGCGUAGUC